rnacentral:rRNA from 1 species
ACGUAAGGGGCAAGCGUUAUCCGGAUUUACUGGGUGUAAAGGGAGCGUAGACGGCAGUGCAAGUCUGAUGUGAAAGCCCGGGGCUCAACCCCGGGACUGCAUUGGAAACUGUGCAGCUAGAGUGUCGGAGAGGUAAGUGGAAUUCCUAGUGUAGCGGUGAAAUGCGUAGAUAUUAGGAGGAACACCAGUGGCGAAGGCGGCUUACUGGACGAUAACUGACGUUGAGGCUCGAAAGCGUGGGGAGCAAACAG